UCGAGAAUUUUUCUCAAUGGGGGAAACCCUGAAGGAGCGACGCCGCGUGGAGGAUGAAGGUUUUCGGAUUGUAAACUCCUGUCAUCCGGGAGCAAUGCUGCGCGUUUAACUGACGCGUAGUUGAUAGUACCGGAAGAGGAAGAGACGGCUAACUCUGUGCCAGCAGCCGCGGUAAUACAGAGGUCUCAAGCGUUGUUCGGAUUUAUUGGGCGUAAAGGGUGCGCAGGCUGUAUGGUAAGUUUGGUGUGAAAUCCUGGAGCUUAACUCCAGAAUUGCACUGAAUACUGCCGUGCUAGAGGACUGGAGAGGAGAUUGGAAUUCACGGUGUAGCAGUGAAAUGCGUAGAUAUCGUGAGGAAGACCAGUGGCGAAGGCGAAUCUCUGGACAGUUCCUGACGCUCAUGCACGAAGGCCAGGGGAGCAAACGGGAUUAGAUACCCGCGUAGUCC
rnacentral:rRNA from 1 species